rnacentral:rRNA from 1 species
UGCAAGCGUUAUCCGGAUUCACUGGGUUUAAAGGGUGCGUAGGUGGGUUGAUAAGUCAGUGGUGAAAUCCCCGAGCUUAACUUGGGAACUGCCAUUGAUACUAUUGAUCUUGAAUACCGUGGAGGUCAGCGGAAUAUGUCAUGUAGCGGUGAAAUGCUUAGAUAUGACAUAGAACACCAAUUGCGAAGGCAGCUGGCUACGCGAAUAUUGACACUGAUGCACGAAAGCGUGGGGAUCAAACAGG